rnacentral:rRNA from 1 species
UACGGGGGGUGCGAGCGUUGUCCGGAAUCACUGGGCGUAAAGGGCGCGUAGGUGGCGUCGUAAGUCUGUGGUGAAAGCCCGGAGCUCAACUCCGGGUCUGCCGCGGAUACUGCGAGGCUUGAGUGCUGUAGAGGGGGGUAGAAUGCCGGGUGUAGCGGUGGAAUGCGUAGAGAUCCGGCAGAAGACCGGUGGCGAAGGCGGCCCCCUGGGCAGUAACUGACGCUGAGGCGCGAAGGCUAGGGUAGCAAACAGG